rnacentral:rRNA from 1 species
UGUUACCUACGGGGCGCAGCAGUGGGGAAUAUUGGGCAAUGGGCGCAAGCCUGGCCCAGCAAUGCCGCGUGAAGGAAGAAGGCCCUCGGGUUGUAAACUUCUUUUAUCAGGGACGAAGGAUGUGACGGUACCUGAUGAAUAAGCUCCGGCUAACUACGUGCCAGCAGCCGCGGUAAUACGGAGGAUGCGAGCGUUAUCCGGAUUCAUUGGGUUUAAAGGGUGCGCAGGCGGGCCUUUAAGCCGGCGGUGAAAUCGCGGGGCUCAACCCCGCC